AUUGAACGCUGGCGGCAGGCCUAACACAUGCAAGUCGAACGAGUGGCGGACGGGUGAGUAAUGUCUGGGAAACUGCCCGAUGGAGGGGGAUAACUACUGGAAACGGUAUCUAAUACCGCAUACCAUCAGAUGUGCCCAGAUGGGAUUAGCUAGUUGGUGGGGUAACGGCUCACCAGGGCGACGAUCCCUAGCUGGUCUGAGAGGAUGACCAGCAACACUGGAACGGAGACACGGUCCAGACUCCUACGGGAGGCAGCAGUGGGGAAUAUUGCACAAUGGGCGCAAGCCUGAUGCAGCCAUGCCGCGUGUAUGAAGAAGGCCUUCGGGUUGUAAAGUACUUUCAGCGGGGAGGCGUUACCCGCAGAAGUAGCACCGGCUAACUCCGUGCCAGCAGCCGCGGUAAUUC
rnacentral:rRNA from 1 species